rnacentral:rRNA from 1 species
GACGAACGCUGGCGGCGUGCCUAAUACAUGCAAGUCGAGCGAGCGGAACCAACAGAUUUACUUCGGUAAUGACGUUGGGAAAGCGAGCGGCGGAUGGGUGAGUAACACGUGGGGAACCUGCCCCUAAGUCUGGGAUACCAUUUGGAAACAGGUGCUAAUACCGGAUAAUAAAGCAGAUCGCAUGAUCAGCUUUUGAAAGGCGGCGUAAGCUGUCGCUAAGGGACGGCCCCGCGGUGCAUUAGCUAGUUGGUAAGGUAACGGCUUACCAAGGCGACGAUGCAUAGCCGAGUUGAGAGACUGAUCGGCCACAUUGGGACUGAGACACGGCCCAAACUCCUACGGGAGGCAGCAGUAGGGAAUCUUCCACAAUGGACGCAAGUCUGAUGGAGCAACGCCGCGUGAGUGAAGAAGGUUUUCGGAUCGUAAAGCUCUGUUGUUGGUGAAGAAGGAUAGAGGUAGUAACUGGCCUUAUUUGACGGUAAUCAACCAGAAAG